rnacentral:pre_miRNA from 1 species
UGAUGAUGCUCAUCAUCAUCGUCGUCGUGAUGGUGAUGGUGGUGCUCAUGCUCGUCAUCAUCAUCGUCGUGAUGGUGAUGAUGGUCGUGC